CCCUGCUGCCUUCGACCUUGUAUAUUGCUCUUCCUUUUUUUGCGUUUUGUUAUAGAUUUGUACAGAAACCAUCUCAUUCUUUACAGAGUAAUUUGCAACUUCCGGGAAGUACAGUAUGUGCAGCUGGAAGUUUCGACAAGAAAUUUGCGUCCUGAAUUUGUGGGCAGCCGGGAUCGCCAUGGCGUUCGGAUGUAGCAAUCCGCAGCUAUAGUUUCCCCGGUUCCCAACCUUGAAAAACUAGGGCUACCAAUGUUUUUCAAGAGGAUUCCGGUACGUGUCGGUGAAAUGAGCUUCAAUGCUUCAUCGAUCCUGAUGGAGAAGUUGAGAGCGGGAUGACCACGGCGCUGGUUAGAACUUAGAGACAUACAGGCAAUCGCGCAAAAAAUGGGUUUACGUUUCUCAUGUACAGUACGCAAGAGUCGUGCUGUAUUAUCCGCCAUCGUUGGCCGUCGACGUCGUCAUCGCUCGGCUGGCUAAUAUGUGCGUUGCUCGAUUACAUAUGCACCGAUAGCUUCGGCGAGAAAUCGGAAUCGUGCCUUUUGCCUUCCGUGACAACGUUCAUGCUUGUGUAUCUUUGUGACCUGCUCAGUGACCAUACCGUGUCCAUCGUGACGGCGGGAGGGGCCUCGAACGCCGUCAUCCGAAAGCUCGCGGAAGCGCGCUGGACAACCUCCUCAUUACACCGUUAUACACUGUAGUGCGCGAGCGCAUUUACUUGGUAAUAAGCACCAAUAAUUAUGGAUGAAGUCAUCGCACUUGCCGUGAUGACUUAAUCACGGUAUCUGGCGGAAUUACCAAUGUUGUCGAGGGGAUUACUGUAUUUGAUUUUAUAAUUUAAGAUCAGCAGUAGAAUCGGCAUUUUAAUUUUAGUCGCUCGGUCAAUACAGCGGAAGUUGAUUUAGUUAUCCUGCAGUGUAUUAAAAAUAAUUGUAAAACAGAUUAAAACAUUAUAUGAAUAUGCAUAAUUUGUGCACUCGUGCUGUUUGUUUGCUUUUUCACUAAGAAUGCGGAGGUGGAAUCCAUCUAUCCGGACUGGCAUACCUGCGUGUGUUGUAUAUACAUCUGGAAAUAGGGAAUGUCCGUGCGGCUGGGCGGUUCACGGUUUCAAGGUGAACGAGUUUCCGACGGAAAUUCUUCGGCCUUGAAUUGCGAAAUAGCCUCGUAUAUGCCUUUGACCGCGCAAUAACCGAUAGAACA